GGCAGAGGCCCCAAGCGUUAGGCGGAAUCACUGGGCUUAAAGCGUGUGUAGGCGGAUCGUUAAGUGUCUUGUGAAAUCCCACGGCUCACCCGUGGAACUGCUGGGCAUACUGGCGAUCUUGGGCCAACUAGGGGCAGUCGGAACAAGCGGUGGAGCGGUGAAAUGCGUAGAUAUCGCUUGGAACGCCGAAGGUGAAAACAGACUGCUGGGGUUGCGCCGACGCUGAGACACGAAAGCCAGGGGAGCAAACGGG
rnacentral:rRNA from 1 species